AUUGAACGCUGGCGGCAGGCCUAACACAUGCAAGUCGAGCGAGCGGCGGACGGGUGAGUAAUGUCUGGGAAACUGCCUGAUGGAGGGGGAUAACGAGUGGAAACGGUAGCUAAUACUGCAUACCACCCGAUGUGGCCAGAUGGGAUUAGCUAGUAGGUGGGGUAAUGGCUCACCUAGGCGACGAUCCCUAGCUGGUCUGAGAGGAUGACCAGCCACACUGGAACUGAGACACGGCCCAGACUCCUACGGGAGGCAGCAGUAGGGAAUAUUGCGCAAUGGGCGCAAGCCUGAUGCAGCCAUGCCGCGUGAGUGAAGAAGGCCUUCGGGUUGUAAAGCACUUUCAGCGGGGAGGCGUUACUCGCAGAAGAAGCAACGGCUAACUCCGUGCCAGCAGCCGCGGUAAUAC
rnacentral:rRNA from 1 species